rnacentral:tRNA from 1 species
GAGGAUAUAGCUCAGUGGUAGAGUGUAUGCUUAGCAUGCACAAGGUGCUGGGUUCAAUCCCCAGUACCUCCA